rnacentral:rRNA from 1 species
GACGUAGGGCGCGAGCGUUGUCCGGAUUUAUUGGGCGUAAAGAGCUCGUAGGCGGCUUGUCGCGUCGACUGUGAAAACCCGUGGCUCAACCAUGUGGUCUGCAGUCGAUACGGGCAGGCUAGAAUUCGGUAGGGGAGACUGGAAUUCCUGGUGUAGCGGUGAAAUGCGUAGAUAUCGGGAGGAACACCAGUGGCGAAGGCGACUACCUGGCCUGUUCUUGACGCUGAGGCGCGAAAGCUAGGGGAGCAAACGGG